GGCUCCGCACUGACUUCACCGCGCAACGCUCUGCGUCGCGGCGCAACAGACCACGCAACCGACGCAUCCCGCGCAGGCUACGUGCGUCCCCUCCGCUACCUAAGCCUCGCCCCCUCCAUUUCCUAAGCCCCACCCCUCGAGCGCAAGCCCUAAGGCGGAGCCGGGAGUGAAGAGAGGUCAGGACGCUCUGCUGUCGGGCAGCCGCUACAAGGGGGGCGCUGCGCUAGGGAGGAAGAGGGAGCGCCGCGGCCGAGCGGGCAACAGGCUGAGAGUUUUGGACUUCUAUGCACCAGUACAAAUGCUUUGGCAGUUUAUGGAUUUAGUCAAGCCAUUCACAUAACAUAGAGAGAGAGAGAGAGAGAGUCAUCCUGUGAGCCAAAGCAACCCUACUUCUGCCUAGGUAAAGUCUGCUCUUUAGGGGGCAAGGAUAUGGAGAGAAGUGGACAUGAAAAAGAUGCUACUGCAUUAGAUAUGCACAUAUUUUCCACUGUGACUAACUUUGCUCCAUGUGAUCUUGUGCAGUCAUCAGUGUUAACGAAGGUGGCCAAGUGAGAGAUCUAGACACUGCAGUGUGAAAAGCCAGAGCUCCUGAAACCAAGCAACUACUAACCUGUUCUACAAAUAUACAUGUUCAACGAAACAGCACCCUCAGCCCAACUAAACAGACCCCUCCUUUUAGAGAUAACAGCAAGAAAGAACAUCUGAAGAUAAAUAAAAUAUUGCCCUGCAGUAUUCAAAGCCUAGUGACUCUUGUUUAAUGUGGAAGAAAAAACAGAGCUGAAAAAGCAUUCACCUACUCAUAUCUUCAGGUUGGCCGGUUGUGACAAUCAGGAUCCAGACGCCCCAAAAGAAGAACAGAGGCUCUAAAUCCGAAGAAAUAAGUAAUUGAAGCAACUGGUUGUAUACAAUAUUAUUGUGUAUAAAAAUACAUCACAUAAGGUCUUUUAUGAAUGCUUGUCAUGUUCUGAACUUGGUCAUUAUGAGCUAUGUACAAGAAAUUACUCACCUUGUGCAAUAACAAUGGUUCUUCGAGAUGUGUUCCCCUAUGGGUGCUCCACUAGAGCUGUGUGUGAAGACUUGUGCUGCUGAUUGGAGAAUUUCAAUAGCAGUCUGUCCCGCUGGCACAUGCAUGACUCCCACCUGCCAUGAGGCAAGCCGGUAUGUAAAGUGAUUUCCUCCUCAGUUCCUUCUCUAUCGCAGAGUCAUAGAAUCAUAGAAUCUCAGGGUUGGAAGGGACCUCAGGAGGUCAUCUAGUCCAACCCCCUGCUCAAAGCAGGA